rnacentral:lncRNA from 1 species
ACAUGCAUGUACAUGUAUCAAAUUUGCAAAGGAAUUUAGAGAAUUAGGAAUUAGAGAAUUCUUCAUUUAAAAAAAUACAGAUUUUUUUAAAACCUUGCAAAGAAUAAAAUCACGUGAUGAUCCAAAGUGGUCCCUGAGGAAGUUAAAAAAGGGAGGACGCAGAGUUCUAUUUAGGAGAAAUAAGGUUUAAUUGGGUUUGAUUGGGAUUGGGCCAAGAAGGAUACAUAAGAGACUCAAGUCUGGUCAAUGCUGACAGUUACUGAUUUUUGUUUGUUUCUCUUUGCCUGAACCUUACUCUCAAACUUUUCUCAACUGAGGAAUAAUUCGUAUAUAUACACAAGAAAUCACUUCAGUAGUCACUCCAUUGUGAUUGGACUUAGAAAUCCCAGAGCCUGAACCAUGACAUAUUUAACCAUGGAGUCAAUACAAAGCAUCUUGGGGGACCUGCCUAAUCCACAGUAAUGCAAUGUGUUCUCAUCUUCUCCAAGCCACACCGUAGGAUGUUCCAUUAAGCAUCCAUAUUUCUUGUUGUUGAUUUAGCUAUUGCCAUAAUUAUAGUGCAUAACUCCAAAACUCGGAGGCUUAAAAUAAUAAUGAUAUAUUUUACCCAUAGAUGAGCAGAAUAGCAAUUUAGAGAGAGCUAAGCUAAGCAGUUCUUCUGAGCUUGGCUGAGCUCACUCAUGUCUGAAGACCAACCAGUUGUUAGCUAAUCUAGGACAACUGAAAUAUCCAGCUCUGGCCCAUCUACCUCAUGCUCCAGCAGCCAAGGCCAGGCAUACUCUCAUGGAAAUCAUGGAAGUAAGAACACGAGUUGAAACUUGAUUUACUUUUCAAACCUCUGCCUUCCUCAUAACUUGUAAUACCAACUUGACCAAAGUAAGUCUUACUCAGGAUUGAGCACGCAGUAAGUAAACUAUGCUUCAUUUGUGAGUGGAUCUACAAAAUCUCAUUAUAAAAGCCAUGGACCAGGAAGGGGAAACAUUCAUUUAAUCACUAUGUCAAACCUAGAUUCUCAGUCUACGUAAUUAAACCCUCUGGGGUAAAUUGUAUCCAAACAGAACACUUCCCCAUCUCUUAGUUCAAGUUUACCAUAAUUCUG